GAUAUUAAUAUAUAUUAUUAAAAUACAGACAUUGUGUGUGUGUGUGUGUGUAUAUAUAUAUACAUACAUACACACACACACACACACACACACAAUGUCUGUAUUUUAAUAAUAUAUAUU